UACGUAGGGGGCUAGCGUUGUUCGGAUUUACUGGGCGUAAAGCGCACGUAGGCGGAUCUUUAAGUCAGAGGUGAAAUCCCAAGGCUCAACCUUGGAACUGCCUUUGAUACUGGGGAUCUCGAGUCCGGGAGAGGUGAGUGGAACUGCGAGUGUAGAGGUGAAAUUCGUAGAUAUUCGCAAGAACACCAGUGGCGAAGGCGGCUCACUGGCCCGGAACUGACGCUGAGGUGCGAAAGCGUGGGGAGCAAACAGG
rnacentral:rRNA from 1 species